ensembl:lncRNA
AUGCGCUUAGACCCAAAGAGGAGACGCCAGACCAGAGACACUCCCGCACCACCACAGAGGCCAAGGAAGAGACGGAGACUCGGAUCCAGUCAGGCCCCCACGCAAACCCAGCAGAAAGGAUGGAGAGAAAUGCUCUCAAGAGCACUGACCAGCAGGAGGCCCACGCGAGCGCUUCCCUGAGCCGCCAACAGCCCGGCCGGAGGUCAACCUCCUGCACGGAGCGGCGCUCCUCUGCCUCGUGCGAGCUACUUAAAGACGAAGCAUCGCAGCUUCGAACCUUCCGGUCUUUUACCUCUCAGCCUGACCGCGGCCGAGAGUUCGGGGCCGCACAAGGCUUUCGCCAGAGAGCUGAGGGCAGCCGGUGUAAGAACCCAAACAGCCGUUCAGCUCUGCUGCCGAGGACAUACUUACUCCAACCCUCCCCCCCGUGCCCCAAAGAGACACUCCACCCAUGCAACUAAAACAGAUCCCUCGUAUUCCUGCCACAGCAGGCAAAGACAGCCAAUCGCAAGGGAGAAAGUCCAAAGGAAAAGAGGACAACCGUGAAAUGCACAAUUGAUCAAUCACCCGCAUUGCGAUCUUUUCAGGGAGAAAAGGGGUGCGGCGCCGAGACAUGGAAAACACGGGGGAAACCACAGGACUGAUUGUUGAUCCGGAAGAGGUCAAAGGUCAGUUCGAAUUUGCAGCACCUCAUAAAAAAAUGCCCGAGAGCUCUUGCGGUGCCACCUCGGAGGAUCUAUGGGAACCAUCCCGGCAGCGGAACAACACACACAUCUGGACACCCCAACGCCCCGGCGCUGCGUAUGAAUCAAACUUAGAGCAUCAUUUUAACACCCCCCCCCCCCCCCCCCAUAUGAGGGACAACAAGGUUUCCGUUAGGGCCCUGAGAAAUCAGGAAGUUACUGUUAGUUUUAAGAUCACUGACGACCCCACGGAGAAGGUCUCAAGCUCCGCUGUGGAAAGUCCAUCUGCACGCUGUGAUGAAACAAUAACACACUCUCAUCCUUUCCGGUGGAGGCCAGGAAGCAGCACAAGAUCAAACUGGGGUAAAGGUCAAAAGCAAACUGCUACGACAACAGCGGCAUUUUGCCUCUGUCAGUCAAGUCAAGUCCAAACACCUACGAAAUGCAGCACAUUUCCCACACAUUCCAAUGCGAGAAGCACUACUGGUGCUGAUGGCAGCGGCAGGGAGGAUGAAAAUAACCCAGCAUCCCAGUGUCACCGGUUUCCCAAGCUCCCAUCCCCUCCUCCCUGCCUCAGCCUCCAGGAUUCCCAUAUUUAUCGACAGGAGGCUGAUUAUGGCAGCAAGGCGGAAGACAGAUGGAUGUUCCCGGAGAUCCAGACCCAGGACCAGAGUCUUCAUCAGUGUAAACCAAUGGAUGCUUUCUUUUUUUUGAGCUGA